CGGGGAUUACAUUUAGUUGCCGGCGUCAUCCGUGGCCACAUGUGUUGCACUUGCCAGCCCUUCCGGAGCAGUUAAUAGUCUCCAUCAUGACGUUCUUUCGUCGUAAUGAGCCUGUAUAUAAAUAUGGUCUUCACGGCUCUUUUACUGGCGGGCUCCUUUUCGGCAGCCUUUGUCCGUUCAGGAGGGCAGUCUGGGCCCAGCACGG